rnacentral:rRNA from 1 species
AAACUUUCAACAACGGAUCUCUUGGUUCUGGCAUCGAUGAAGAACGCAGCGAAAUGCGAUAAGUAAUGUGAAUUGCAGAAUUCAGUGAAUCAUCGAAUCUUUGAACGCACCUUGCGCUCCUUGGUAUUCCGAGGAGCAUGCCUGUUUGAGU